rnacentral:rRNA from 1 species
AUACGGAGGAUCCAAGCGUUAUCCGGAAUCAUUGGGUUUAAAGGGUGCGUAGGUGGAUGAUUAAGUCAGAGGUGAAAUCCUGCAGCUCAACUGUAGAAUUGCCUUUGAUACUGGUCAUCUUGAGUUAUUGUGAAGUAGUUGGAACAUGUAGUGUAGCGGUGAAAUGCAUAGAUAUUACAUAGAACACCGAUUGCGAAGGCAGAUUACUAACAAUAUACUGACACUGAGGGACGAAAGCGUGGGGAGCGAACAGGAUUAGAAACCCCAGUAGUCC